CUUUGGCUUCUGAAAUAUUUUCUACUUUAUAUUGAGUAACUUGCUUGACGUAACGUCAGAUUAGAACAAUGACUGGAAAAGUGCCACUACCCAAUUUUAUUGACAUGGAAGUUGGCCACUCGCCAUUGCUUCCCUUUGAAACACUACAUCAAUAGCAAAAUCAUUUGAAAAUAGAUUGAAUUCCUCUGCUUACUGUGAUAACUGUCCUCGCCCAGCCAUCAGAAAGCAGGACGAUGGAAGUGACGAUCAUCCGAGGUGACGUUCUAGAAGGGAAGGUGACAUUUUGCUUUGUUUUGCUUUUUCUGGGAAAUUCUCCUAUUCACCGCUUAUGAAAUUCAGGACAAGAAAUUAAGUUAAACUACAUGUUUAAACACACUGAGCAGUGUGUUUUACUUUUAUUUUCAAUGUACUCAAAUGCAUGUACCGUAAUUUUCUGACUAUAAGUCGCGGUUUAUUUCAUAGUUUGGGUCGGGGGGGUUGACUUAUACUCAGGAGCGACUUAUAUACAUAUAUAUGUUUUUUUUUUCACUUUUUUGGGCAUUAUAUGGCUGGUGCGACUUAUACUCCGGUGCGACUUAUAGUCCGAAAAUUACGGUAUGUUUUUUAUGAGUGCGUGCAUUCUUGGGACGUUCAACACGUCCAUCACGUGUCAUUGUAUGUUUUAGGAAAACUUUGAUUGAUCAUGAGUUUUGCUCAAGGAUCAUGGCUCUUCUUCAAUGCAAUGUUAUGUAACAGCACAGCAGUGAAUGAUAAAUGUGCAGAGAGAGUGAUGAGAGUGCAAAAAAUCUCUGUGUCUCCCUUAAACGUGUGUGUGCGUGCUCGUGUGUGUGCAUGUUCACCUCUGUGUGUGUGUGUUUGAGAAACACAGAAUGUGAAUAAGAAGGAGAAGAGGAAUGAGGAACAUGGACCAAGAAUGAUAAAUCAAGAGAACGAAUUAAUGAGGCGUAACGAGAGCAAUUUUUUGUGGUCAUGGAACCAAGUGGCCCAGGGGACACCUUCAUGAUGGCUGCAGUGUGCAACAGAAGUCAAAGAGGCUUCAGUGGGAUGCUGACAGGGUUUAUGGAAGGGUUUUGUUUCUAAGAUAACACCAAAACACAACACACAAUGAUACAUGAGAAGCCCUUCCUGACCCUCAGAAUACCAGCAGUUUUCCUGUCAGCCAGCCUCCCUAAGUGAGGCUAUUGUAAGAAAAUAAAAGUGUGUUUACUUUGGCCUGUGCUCACCUUUUUUGCUAUUACUUAACCCAACCCAUCAUCGUUCAUUCCCUCUUCACCGCGCAACCACACACAGAUUGGAGAUUUGUAGCUUGAUAUUCAAGCCUCUUUUCCAAAUUACCUUUGUGGCGUCACCUUGCCCCUAUCAUCCCCUCUGGUGAACAAUGUUAUUUUUCAAACUUUUUACUGGUAAUGUUUGGUGUGUGCUCCCCGCUUCCCACCGCACGCCAAAACCAAAGCACAUUCCUGGCAAAGUGCUGUAAAAUAAACGACGGGCCACUAGAUUUCAACGAAGCGAGAUGGAGCGGAUGAGAGCAAAAACAAGCGCGUGUCAGCAAGAGAACGGGCAAUUGUUAGAAUGUAAUGUUGUACUGAUUGUUGAUACAGAUGGCCACGCUCUGAGCUGACCUUGGACAUGCAAAAAAAUGGGAAAAGAAUUUUCAAAUGCAAGUUUGAGUCCCGUGGACACCUGUUCCACUUUACGUUGCCGUGUACGGCAAUGUCACCCUUUGUUCCGCGUUAUGUAAAUCGGCCAUCGGUUCCACUUUUUCGUUCGAUAUUGCCCUAAUAAAAACACAAAUACAUCCGCAGGUGUAGGAAUUCACGUGGUAGUAGACGGGCUGAAUCAUCGCCAGAAUGGUCUCUCAUCUUUACCAACGGUCACAAAUGGGAGAACGCGGUCAUGUCAGCAGCCACGGCCAGUGGGGCCACAAAAAACAGUAGGCAUGUGUUAAUGGUAAUUGGACCAAAACUUUUUUUCGGUUAUAUGCAAGAACAGUUUUUCAGUGGGGCAUGGUGGUGAGUACAUUUUAAAGCGACAUGGUGCUUGCGAAUCACAGAGAAAAAAAUCCACCAAAAAACAUCAAAUUCAUCCAUCCAUCCAUUUUCUGUACCGCUUAGUCCCCACGGGGGUCGCGGGUGUGCUAGAGCCUAUCCCAGCGUCAUCCAAACUGUUUCCACUGCAUGCUGGGAUUUUUUCUUUCCUCUAUGUUUUUCCACAGUAGCAACCGUUAUAAAAAUAAACUUAUUAGCCCUCAUUGUCAGGUUUUGCACAAAAUAGGCUUUAUUCUAUCACAUAUGUUGAGACUAUUGGCUAUGCUGAUAUUCUUUAUUCCUUUGAA